rnacentral:misc_RNA from 1 species
GAUGAAGAACGUAGCGAAAUGCGAUAAGUAAUGUGAAUUGCAGAAUUCAGUGAAUCAUCGAAUCUUUGAACGCACAUUGCGCCCGCCAGUAUUCUGGCGGGCAUGCCUGUUCGAGCGUCAUUUCAACCAUCAAGCCCCAGGCUUGUGUUGGGGACCUGCGGCUGCCGCAGGCCCUGAAAAACAGUGGCGGGCUCGCUAGUCACACCGAGCGUAGUAGCAUACACAUCGCUUAGGACGUGCUGCGGGUUCCGGCCGUUAAACCCCACACUAUAUCAAGGUUGACCUCGAAUCAGGUAGGAAGACCCGCUGAACUUAAGCAUAUCAAUAAGCGGAGGA